AUACUAGCCCCCCCUCUCUAGGAUUUAGCCACGCCCUUCAUUCGUUACUGUGAGGAUUUUCAGAACAGAGGUUGUGGCAGUUUCAGCAUCAAAUACCUGUUAAAGAAGAAAAGAUAGUUGAACUAGAAACAGAAAAUGCUGUUCUGUCCCUGAGAUUGGCAGAGAUAACGAAGUAAUGUUUUGCUCUGACCAAUGAGCCACAGGAAUGGCUCUAGAUGUGGUCAUCGUAUACUACCCUGAAAGAACCGCCAGAGUUCCAGGACGGCCACCUUUCACUUAAGCAAACUUGUCCACAGACUGUGUGGGUCCCAUCAGCUGAGAGUAGCCUUCACAUUGCAGUGAUGUGCAUAUUUCUGCUUUUCAGCCACGAUGGACUUUAGGAUCUUCCCUGAGGACCCUACACGAACCACAGGUGACCUGGAUGCAGAAGUCCUACCUGUAGCUGCCAUCCAGGGCAUAAGUCCCUCAGUGAGUGAAUUCCAGAUGGUUCUGUCUAAAGCAGCAUCAAGCAGGGUGGUGGGAUAGAAUGACAGUUGUGAGCAGUUCCCAUCGGCAUCAACUGUACCACAGACCCAGUCUCAGUGUGACACAGAAGACAACUACCUGGAAAGUUCAUCCACAGAGCACGUAAUUCUGAUUGGUGCAACAGUCUGGAAGAGUGAAAGACGUCAUCUCCCAAGGGCAAGUGCUGUGCUAGUGGACACUGAGGAGCUGCAGGGAUCAGACCCCUCCCCAUCCUUCUCCAGCCUCUCUUGUUCUUCCUUGAGAUGUUUCCUGCAGACCUGAAAGAUCCAGGCAGUCCAUGACAUGGGUUUGAAUUUAAUCUCAGGACAUUUUAUUCAUUGCCCAAAAACUAAGACCAGAUAAAAUUUAUUCAUUCAUUCAUUCAUUCAUUCAUUCAUUUCUUAUAUAUAAGUACAGGGUAGUUGUCUUUAGAAACAACAGAGAGGUCAUCAGAUCUAAUUAGAGAUAUUUGUGAGCUGCCAUGUGGUUGCUGGGAUUUGAACUCAGGACCCCUGGAAGAGCAUUCAGUGCUCUUAACCAUUUAUCAAUCUUUCCCAUUUCCAAGGUAACUUUUUUACUUUCAACAAGGUAUUCUUUAUUCAGGUUACAUCCUGAUCCCAGCUACUCUCCCUCUUCCCUUCCCAGUCCCACCAUACAAAUCCUUUCUAACAGUGCUCUCCCUUCUCUUUGGAGAUGGGGAUACUCCCUGGGUACCACACCACCCUGGGACAUCUAGUCCCAGGUGGACCGAGCACAUUCUGCCCCACAGAUUUACAAUCAGGCAGUCCGGGUAUGGGGAAGAGAUCCAAUGGCAGGCAACAAAGACUGAGACAGUCCUGGAUCUACUUGUCAGAUGACCCACAUGGAGACCAACUGCAGAUAGCUACACCAGGCUCUGGAGUUGGUUGCACAGGCUCUAGUAUACAUGGUCCAAAGUAUCUGACUGUAGGGGACUUCUUGUAGUGUUUUUGACCCCUCUAGUUUGCUCACAAUUCUCCCUCACUCUUCCACAAGACUUCCCAAGCUCCAUCUGAUGUUUGGCUGUGGGUUUCAGCUUGUGGAUGAAGCCUCUUCAGAGACAAGUAUGUUUCUUUUCUGUCCACAAGUAUAUCAGAGUAUCAUAAAUACUGUCAGAGGUUAUCUCUGUCACAUAGAUGGAUCUCACUUUGGGGCAGUCAUUGAUUGGUUGUUCCCUCAAUCUCUGCUAUAUCUUUAUCCCUGCACAUUCAUUAGCAAGAUAGAUUUUGAGUUGGUGCUGUGAGUGCAUUGAUGUCCACUUCCUCGUCUAGAAGUUCUUUCUUGCAACAAGAGGUAGCCAUUUCUGUCUCUUGCUCUGGUAGGAUUCUAACCUAGGGUCACCCCCGUAGACUCCCCCUAUGCUCUCCCUUACCAGCCAUCCAGCAAGUCACCAGAGAUCCCUGCUCCCUCCUGCCCAGAAAAUUUGUAUUCCCACUCCCAUCCCUCUCCCAAACCCCUCUCCCUUGACCUGAUCACUAUUUCCGUCUCCUUUCCUGCCUCUUCUCUUAACCUGUUCCAUCACUUCAUCCUUCUGAGAACUAUUUUGUUUUCCCUCUGAGUGAGAUGCACACCUCCUCAUUUAGGCCGUCCAGAAUUCUUUCUUCUUGUCUAUCUAUCUGUUAUCUUACACUGUAUGAUAAUGUCCACCUAUAAGUGAGUACACACCAUACGUUUUUCUGUGGUUCUGGGUUUCCUCACUCAGGAUAACAUUCUAAAGUUCAUCCAUUUGCCUAAAAAGUUCAUAAUGUAUUUAUUUUUAAUAGCUGAAGAGUAUUCCUUUGUAUAGAUAUAUACCUUAUUUUCUGUAUCCAUUUUUCAGUUGAGGGGUAUUUAGGCUUUUUUUAGUUCUUGGCUAUGACAGAUAAAACCAGUAUGAACAAAGUUCAUCAAGCAUCCUUGUGGGAUGGUGGGGCAUCUUUUGCGUAUAUGUCCAGGGGUUGUUUUGCUAAGUCCAGUGGUAAAACGAUUCCCACUUUUCUGAGAAACUGCCAAUAUGAUUUUGAAAGUGGAUAUACAAGUUUGCAAUCCAAGCAGCAAUGGAGGAGUAUUCCCUUUUUUCCACAUCCUCACCAGCAUGUGCUGGAUGUCACUUGAGAUUUUUAUUUUAGUCAUUCUGAUUCAUGUAAGUUGGAAUCACAGGGUGCUUUUGAUUUGGAUAUACCUGAUGACCAAGGAUGGUGAACAGUUCUUCAAGUGUCUCUUGGCCCUUCGAAGUUCCGCUGAUGAAUUUAGCUUUGCACCCCAUUAUUAGAUUAGGAUAUCUGGUUUCUUGUAGUUUAACUUGUUAUUUAUGUAAUUUGGAUAUUAGUCUUUUGUGAGAUAUAGGCUUGGUGAAGAUCCUUUUCCAACCUGUAGUCUGCCAUUUCUCCUAUCAAGUGUGUUCUUUUCCUUACAGAAGCUUUUCAGUUUCAAGUUUCGUUUAUUGUGGAUCUCAAUAUCUGAGCACCACUGGGGUUCUGUUCGGGAAGUUGUCUCCUGUACCAAUGUGCUCAAGCCUAUUUUCCAAUUUCUCUUGUAUCAGGUUUGACGGAUAAGGUUUUAUGUUGAGGUCUUUGAUGCAAUUGGACUUGAGUUUUGCAGAGCUUUAUACAUUAGGGUCAUUGCAUUCUUCUUUAUGCCUGUAUCCAAUUAGACCAGCACCACCUGUUGAAGAUGCUUUCUUAUUUUUGUCAUAUGAUUUUGCCUCCUUUCUUGACAAUAAGCAUCCAUAGUUGUGUGGGUUUAUUUCAGGGUCUUGGAUUUCAUUUUAUUGAUCAAUCUGUCUGUUCCUAUACCAAUACCAUAUAGUUGUAUUACUAUAGCUCUGUAGAACAGCAGUAAAUCAGAGAUGGUGAUUCCUCCUGAAAUUCUUUUAUUGUUCAGGAAAGUUUUAGCUCCCUGUGUUUGUUAAAUAUUUCACUUGAAGUUGAGAAUUGCUCUUUUAAGGUGUGUAAAGACUUGUUUUCAGCUUUGACAGGUAUUGCCUUCACAAUUUAGAUUGGUUUUAGUAAGAUGGUAGUUUUCAAAUUAUUAAUCCUACCUGUCCAUGACCUUUCUUAUGAUAUCUUCUUCAAUUGCUUUAAUCGGAGAUUAAAUUUUUUGUCAUACAGAUCUUUCCUUUUCUUAUAAUUGCACUGAGGCCUUUUUGUUAUAUUAUUUGUUGCUAUUGUAAAUAGUAGUGUUUCCCUAAUUUGUCAGUCCCUUCAUUGUUUGUUUAAAAGAGUCCUACUGAUUUUUUUUAGUUAAACUUGUAUCCAUAAACUUUGCUGAUGGUGUUUAUCAAAUGUAGGAGUUAUCUGUUCUUUUUAGCUUUGUCAGUCUUGGACCCAGAGGGCAGAAUGAACGGCUGUAAAGAUGACAGGGUGUUUCCUCUAUCCUAUCUUCUCCUUUGUCAUUCCAAGGGCAGUAAGCCUAGAAAUUACCUUUCCAUUCUUUCUCCAAACUCCAUUUUCUUACCAGACAGUGAUAGCUGAGAAUUCCAGACCACUACUGUGUCAUGUGGACCCUGUCUGCAGGAGAAUGGUCUCUUAGGGCAGGUGAAAUGUUGCCUGUAUGUUCUUCAAUUUGCAUGAGGUGGCUAGAAGGAGGUUUUUAUAUAAGGCACACAACACAUCAUUCUUCAACAAUGUGAGCCUUCAGAUCUGAUGUAAAUAUUUGAGAUUGAAUAUCUAGUUCAUGAUUUAAUUUCAAAAAUUCUAAAGAAAGGUUUCUGAUUUGAUGCUAGGGAUUUUAUUUUUAUCAAUUCAAAUCAACAUUACACUAAUCGUUGGUGGACAUUAUAGGUGACAGUUCUGUUAGAGAGUUAACUAAUUCUUCAGAGGUUCCAAAGACUCUAGGACUCUCACAGCAUUACACAGCAUUCUUGCAGGUAGGAGCAAAGAUAUCUGAGAAGAGUGGGAGCUCAUAGGUGGCCGUCAAACAUAGCUAUCUGAAAAGAUGUAAAUUUAGUAAAGAGAUGUAGAUACACUGUCAGGAAAGGAAGAAGCGUGUUGCUGUACCUCCUGUGACUUAAGUGCUAGAAGAACACUUGUGUCAGUCGAGUCUGCAACUCUUUCUCAGCAUAAUAGAGUUAUUUAAUUUUAAUUCCUGAAUUUUGCACUGUCAUUCCUUAGGUGAUUUAUGGAAAAAGACCUCAGUUUGCUUAUUUUAUGUGAAAGGGGAUUUUAUGAUUUCAUCACAUUUUCUAUUUUCAGAAUCCCUAAUGUGGGUUCAGAAGAUUUUUCUGAUCCAUAGAAAUCUGUGCAUCAGUGAAAUAUGCACACUUUCAAAUAAAACAGAAGCAUUUUCAACCCAAAAAUUCUUUUUAAUACAAGCUAUACGAUCAAGUGUUGAAAUACAAGCAUAAGUAUUUUUUUUUACAUUUAUCGAGUUUCCUAUUUGAAAGUGUGUCUUUGCUUUUUCCUCUGUAAGAGAAUAGAAUGUCCCAGAGAGCUGAUGAAGGAUUUGCACACUUGUCUUGCCUAGGAAGUGCAUUCUCCUUGUUUCUGCAGCACAUGGGCAGCCUUUGGUGGCAUAACAAUACCUCCCAAAGAAGAGCAGGUACCUGCUAUCCCUAGUGCAUGGGAAGACAGAUGCACUCAAGAACCUGCAAGCAUCUGAAAAAUCUGCAUGUGUGUUUGUGAGACCUGUAGUGAAAUAGACUUGGCCAUCCCUGGGCAGUGAGGUCAGAUGUGAAUAUGUGUUGUAAGAGCACAUUGAAUAGCAUACAUUACUGUGGGGAAAUGUCUCCUUUCACUGCCCCAUGCUAAUGCCUGGACUCCCCAAACAUAUUCACUGAUAAGCCCAUUGCCUUAAAGGUCUUCUGGUCGUUCAUGUUUGAAAUGUAAGUGGCCACUCAGUACUGAUGGAAUGAAGGUAUGCUUUAUUAUCAUGGCACAAGGUACACUGAUCAGUUCCAGCAGGCUGAAGGGUCAGUGAGAUGUUGUGUCCCCUCACUCUCAUGCAUACUUUGCUUGAGCAGGGCAGCAGGACAGCAUCCAAAUCUCAGGGGAUGGGUGAAAUACAAGGAGGGAGUGAGGCGGUUGUUACUCAAAGGAUGUAAAGUUCAGAUGAACAGGGAAUGACUGUGACUACUGUUAUAUGGUAAACUGUGACACUCCACAGUGUCCUGUAAAAAAUGCAAAGGAACUUUAAGAAAGGGAAGGCAUGUUUGAGGGUUUAAGGAAUUUGGGGGGAACAUUUUUGGAAGAGCAGAAUUUAUAUAUUAGAAUUAGAGUUUGUAUUUCGAUAUUUUAAUUUACAGGUUUUUUAAAUCUGUGGAGAUAUCCAUUAGAAACUAGAUUUGGUCCUGAUCGAGGACCAUGUCUUCUUAUGCACCCUGUCCUGUGUGGGAUUUGUGGCUCUGACCUACUGUUUUCCCUGGUCUCUGUACCACUUCAUUUUCUGCCAAAUCCUACAUGAUUCUUCCUCUGUCCAUUCCCAGGUAAUAAAGUGUUUUCAGAAACACAUAUACUCAUGAAUUUAUGAUACAAUUAAAGCAGAAUAGGUUGGUUGAUUGACUUGGCAGAAGAAAUGUUCAUCUCCUAAAGUGCCGGGUGAUUAUGUUUAUUUACAAAAUUUUUCAACUUAUUCACUCAAGGCAUUGGGAGGUAAGUGCCAGUCUUGAGGUUGCUUAAUCAUUUUUAGCAGUAUACAGAUAGUACUGCCCCUGCUCACCCUGUGAUCCCAGGCAGUCACAUACAUGACAGGUUAGGGGAUCAGACGAGAAACCAUAUGUGUGUGUAACUGUUAACACUGUGAGAAAUGAACACAGAACCUGUGCAGGUUGAUUGAAGGACCCUAUAAGACAUUAUCUGUUAGGUAGGCUCUCUUGAGAUAGUAGAGGGCAUGGGGAAGAGUCUCCUCCAUCGGAAGGCUCAGGAGGCAGGAUCGCAAGUUGGCUGGGAAAGUUAGGUCUCCAGGUGAUACGAGUAUUCAAUGCCACAGUAAAUUGAUUUGUACUCUACAAGCACUGUGGGGACUCUGUUUUUCUUGAGAAGGCAGAAGCAAAGUCCCAUAUUCAAUGAGCAGGUAAUCUACCCAGGAAAACUUCUGUGGGUAGGCAUACCGCUUUUGCUUAUGAGUGGCCAAUGAACAAUACCCACCGCCCCUCCCCCUACAGACUUAGCUAUGCCCUGAGGGGAUUUCCAGAACAGAGUUAGUGGCAGUUUCAGCAUCAAAUGCCAGUGAGUAUGAAGGGAGCCCAGGGAGUUUGAAACCAUCUCUCCAUGCUCUAAGGGACGUGGAAAAAAUAAGAGAACUGGGGUUGUCAUCGUAGCACUGUUUUCUGAGUCUUGAGUUCCCUUGGGAUGGAGAUCAAAUUUUCAGAAUCUUAGGGAAGUUGACCUGUUUGCUCCCAACUGUCUUUAUGGCUCCUUCCUCAAACUCCCACUUGGGUCCUCUCUGACCUUGCAUUUGCAGCAUCAGCACAUCUAGGUCCCCUGACUUGGCACCUCCCUCAGCUAUGCUGAACAUUCACAGACUCCAUACUGAGCAGGAUUUGGGAGUACAGCUACUAAUACCAAAAAUUAUGUAACCCUACUCUUUGCCCUCAUAGAGCACACAGCAGAAUAAAUAAAUGGAUAAAGUGAACAAAAAUAUAAACACCAUGUGUGGUAAUGGCUGCCAAGUAGAGAGUCUGGACCUUACCUGAUCUGAAAUCAGCCCCACCUAAGGCUUAUGGACAGGAUACUGGGAAGGGGAAAAACAUUUGAAAUGUAAGUAAAGAAAUAUAUCUAAUAAAAAAUUAAAAAACCAACCAACCAUACAAACAAACAAACAAACAAACAAACAAAAAAGACUAUACUGUGACCUUACCCAGAGAGAAGAUGAUCUGAUCUGCCUCUUAAAAGUGAGAUUUUAGCAGGUAGUGUUUGCUGACCAGAGAGGUCAGAUGCUUACUGAGCAGCCCCUUAGAAGACAAGGCUUGACUUCCAACUAGCAGACAAGGAAGUCUGUGGGCAUGCUCCAAGGAAACUGGUGAGAGCCGCAGGCAGCAUUUUGGAUCUUUGCAAAUUUGCCUAAGUGUACAUUGAAGGAAGAAAUCUCUGUUCCAGCAACAAGUGCUCAGGUCCUUAAGGAGAGCACAACUCUGCCUGCUUCAAGCUCCAGAAGCUACCCAGAAGCUUCAUCCUGGGACUGUACCUUAGCACUAACUCAGGACCACUUUACCUCACCUUGAGAGACUAAUCUUAGGACUUCCAUCCAUCCCAAGAUACAGCUGGGCUUGUAGCAUCAAUUUCAGACUCCAGGGCACACCAAGAAUGCACACUGUAAUAAUCUUUGUGGGCUGUCUCCACAUUUGAGCAGAGGUUUCUGUGGGCUUGAGAUUGGAAGUCUUGGGUCCAAGAGUUGGCUCCAGUUCUCCUCAGUUUGUAGGUAGCAGAUUCCUCUUGAUGUCCUGUGUUCUCCCUCUGUACCCUUCUAAUGUCUGUGGCUCUAGGGUUCCCUUCAUAAGGACCCCAAAGACAUUACAACAGAGCCCACUUUUCAGGCUUCCUUGAAUCGAUGACCUUGAAGGCACUGUCUUUAAGUGUCACCUGCUUAGUGUCAGGGACUUCAUCCUUCACCAUAUGAAUUGGGGUGUAUCUUGUCCAACCUAAGGCACUCAAGAGAGACUCAUAGGGUCAGGGCAAACCUGACAGAAAUUUCUCACAGAGCCCCAUUCUAAUUGGACCAGACUUUGUAAAUGUUUGUGUCCCAGGUCUUUCUGGUACUGCUGUCCAAAAUUGUUCUCAUGGUAUAAAUCUGUCAUUUAUGGAGGGAAACUGAACAAAAGGCUUCGCAUCAGUAAGGAAGAAAAAGGCAGUCGACUUGUAGAUGGAAUCCAAUUAUAAAUAGAAGAGACCCUAAGGAAUCUGCUAAAAUUUAGCACUGAAUAGUGAGUUAUACAAGACCAAUGAAUAUAAGAUCUGUCAGCAGAAAUGAAGCAGUUCUGUAGCCUAUCAGUAAACAGCACAAAAUUAAGGUAAAAUUUCUAUGUCAUACAGCAUGUUUAAAAAAAUCAAAAGUAUUUUCAAAUUACUUUGAUCAAACACAUACUAAACUUUUAACUAUAGCUUCUAUUAUUUUUGAAAUCUAGAAAAUAAUAAACUUCAUCAACAUAUUACAGAGAUUUUCAUAAUCAAGUGAACACAUUUAGAAAUUGACAGUGUAUAACUCAGAGGUUUUCAAACUCACACCAUGGGCUCUCUUUACCAAUCAGAGUUUAGAAGUGCAGAUAAUGCUGUCUCACAUUACUCUGUGAGAAGAUUUAGAGAGUUAAUUCCCUAACAGCAGGGUCCGCAUCCCAAUGUGGAGACAGAAUUCCCUUCAAGAGGGUCUAAAUCACCUGCAGGUAUGAGUAGCCCCCUCAAAGGAAGGACUGAAUCUCCUGCAGGCUAGAAUGACAAAAAUGAGAGGAUCCAUAGGAGGAGGGACUUAAUUUCUUCUCUGAUGAGACUGGAGCACCAGCAGGAAUUUGACUCUGUAGUCUGAGAGAUUAUUUUCAUCAUGAUGUUCUGAGUUCCCUGAAUCCACAGCUGGAACACUGAGCCACCACCAGGAACACUGAACCUGGACCAGUUGUCUCAAGGGCAUUAAAUACGAAUUUCACUUCUUUGGCUAUUAAAAUCCCACCAUGCUCUAGCUUCCUUCCAACAUCCACCACCCUUCAUUCCCCACCAUCUCAGCUUCUCAAUGAAUCCUUCCUCUCCUUGAUUUUCCAAGCCUACCUACGUCUUAUGAGCACCUACACACACACACACACACACACACACACACACACACACACACACACACACACCUGGCUUUGAAGGGAUCAGAUUUUUAUUUUUAAGGCUGAACUGUUUCUAUGGCUUUCUCUGUAAACUCUGCUUCCCAGCUACUUUCCAUGGCACCUUCCUGACCAAAAGAUAAAAGAGUCUCGAGUGUACAGCUUGCAUCCCUGGUAGUCCUCAGGUCUGGAGCUGAUGGGCUCAGAGCCAUGGGGUGUGUGUGGGUAGCCGGCCAGGCCUUGCUGAGGCUGACUUGUCUUGCCUCUGCAGUAUGUGAAGGAGUCUUCACAACCUGACAGUUGACUUUCUCCUUGCUGAGACUGUUUCUACCAUUUCUUGCACUCUGUUCAAUCAUGGUAUUUCAUGUGGGCAUGUACAUGCUGUGUUGGUCCAUUUUUCUUUUGGAUCCUGGGUUGCAGGUUAAAGAAAAAAAAGGUAGUUGAACUGGAAACAGAAAAUGCUAUUCUGACCCUGAGAUCCGCAUAGGUAAUCUUUGUCCUGUAGACUGAUUGACUGAUGAGACACAUGUGAGUGUUAGCUUUGCGGAGACUACUGUAGUUGUAAAAAAUGGAAAGGACUGCGGCUUUCCUUUGACGGCUGGUCCCCUCCAGUGAGAUUGCCACUUAGUGUGUCAUCCAGUAGUGGAACAGAAAUUAAUCCUAAAUCUUUCUUCCUCGUGCUCAGAAGUAUUUAAGGAAUAAUGCUUUAAUGAUACAUCCAACAGCUGGUCCUGGACAGCUGUGUUGUACUGUUUAUGCACCAUGAUUCACCCACAUUAAUUUUAAUUGAUGUAUAGAUAUAGUAGUCACCUCCAACCCCCAAAUACUUGGUCUCAAUAAGUGCAAACCCAGGUCAUCAGAUAUGGUUUCUCAGACACCCCACAGCACGCCGCACUCCGAGUGGGAUGCUGCACAGUUCAGAUGCAGACAUUUCCAGUGUGGCUGGGUGUUCAGUGUGCCCUUCAUCUCCUCACAGGCUCUUCUGACACAACCUCCACUGAAACUCCAGUUGUUUCCUUUCCUUGGACUUUUGUUUUGAAGUAUAGUGCUCUUUUUUCAGGUCCUGAUUCUAGAAGGCAUUGAAUCCCCUGCAGACACACAGUCCGUCUUGUCUUAAACUGGUACGUGUGUGUGUGUGUGUGUGUGUGUGUGUGUGUGUGUGUGUGUGUGUGUGUGUGAGUGUGUGUGUGUGUGUGUGUGUGUGUAUGUGUGUGGAGUUGUAGUAGUAGUAGUAGUAGUAGUAGUAGUAGUAGUAGUAGUAAAUGAAGUUCCACAGACCAAGACAACAACUCAGGAUACAGAACCCCCUGCAAGAGAUCCUCAGCUGAAAACAUGGAAUUCAGGAGGGACUGAAGACAGCUGACGUGCAACAUGAUGCUAAUCUUACUAAGAUCGUCAACUUUUCACCCAAUACCUGUGAAGCUAGAGUAGCUCAGAACACACUGAGAAGUGUAGAGAGAAAGAAUUCCAUGCCUAUUUUCCUCUGCCUAUGAGAAAUAGGUUUCAGGACCGUAAAUAGUUUUUGAGGGUAAGUUUCUCUUUUAUAAACACCAGUCUUUUUCUCUUAUAUACUACUUUAAAAUUAUUUAUUUUUAUUUCACUUGCUUUUGUGUUUUACCUGGAUGUGCAUCUGUGUGUGGCUGUCAGAUAUCCUAGGAAGUUUGUUGUGUAUGGGCAAUUCCAUGUAAAACAGAACAAAGAGGAAAUGCAACAUCAACAGUAGCAAUCAGGUCUCUCUCCUUAGGCCCCUGUGGAUGUAGCUGCCCUUGGGACUGACAGAGUCUUCUUUGUUAAUGCAUGCCAUACACUGAGCUACAGCUGUGAUGGCUCCUAUCCUAUGGCUACCACAGCACCUGAAUCUUGCCCUAUCUCCAGGAUACCUGCAUCCAGCCUUGUCUCCAGGCAAACAUGCUGAGGAAGAAACAUUAGCCACAUGUAAACAAUGUGGGAUUUGUAAGUACACAAAGAAUAUAUUUUCCCUAUCAAAUAUGCAUUAUAAAAGGAGGAUAGCAUGAAGGAGAGAGAUGCUAUAGACUAGGACUCCAGUUACACAGUGGUUUCCAUAUGGAUUUGUCAGACAUGACUAGGAAGGGUGUUGGGAAUCUGUGCAGACUUAGACAAACACAAAUGCUUUUCUGUAAUGGGAUCCAAGAGGAAAACAGGAUCAGAUGAAAGAUCCUUACCCAAGGAUGACCUCUCUUCAGUGAGAAGGCCAGAGUUAUGUGUGGCUUCCAUUUCAAGAUCUCGGGUGGAAUGUGUGAGUCAGGUGUCCUUGUGCCUGCUGUUCUCCAGUGCUUUUAACAAGAAGGCUUCCUCCUUCAAAAUGGCAAGCUUGAGUGUGGCAAGGUCUCUCCCUUCUGUGGUUGGAUUAUGGUUGUCCAACAAGGGUGUACAUGAGUAUAUGUACACUGUGUGUAUUAUGUAGGGCCCAUAAAAUCCGAAGAGGGUAAGAUAUUCUAGAUCUUGAGUUGCACAUGACUGUGAGCUGACUUGGAAGUGUUGAAAAUAAGUGAAGGUCCUCUGCAAAGGCAGCCAGUGCUCUCAAACCCUGAACGAUCUCUCUAGUUCCUGCUCUGAAGGUUUUCUGAUGUCCUGUUGAUUACUGUCUGCUCCACCAGCCUGUUCCACAGGAAUCAGUCUUAUGAUUGUGUAGCAUCACAACACCAAAAAUAGUUUAAUCUCUGACUGGAUGCCUUUAAUGAUUUUACAAAUGAUAAAAAUUGACUAUAUUUGUUUUUGAAUAUUAACAGUGCCUCUGGAACUAAACUCAGAUCAUCAGCUAUUCCUUUCCCCUCUGAACAAUCUCAAAAGCUCACACUGUAUAUUCUGUUCUGUCCUCAGUGUACCAUGUAUUUCUGUAAUCACCAGCAUUGUUAAAGCAAGCCAAAUGAGAUUUCUAAAAUCUUCAGAUUUUGAAAUUUACAUUCACACAUAGCUUGUGCUACACAUCAUUAAUCCCCCCUUUCAGGAGAGAGCAGGUCUCGUUACUUCAAAACCACCCUUGUGUACAGGGUGAGUUUUAGGACACCUUCAGUUUGUGGUGACACUCUGUCUCAAAUUAACCACACAACAACAACAACCCAACCACACUCACACAGAAACACAUGCAUGGAACACACACACACACACACACACACACACACACACACACACACACACACACACACAGCACUGUCCAAUUGCUACCGUUCUCAUUCCUAAAGUGAACUUUCAGUGUAACUGUACUUUAACCUCAACUUCCUCAGUCCUUCCAGUCUGCAGGCUUCUCUUAAACCCUGAGGAAUUGGCAACUGACAUCAGACCGGUUUCUACUUCCUGGUGGGGUAAUUGGUUUGUGUUGUUUUGUUAUUUUGUACUCCCUUAGCAGACCUCCCUAGGCUCUGAGAAGAUUCCAUUCACUUCCUUCAGAGGACUUUAGUGUUUUUAAGUCAUACUCAACAAAGUAAGAAACCAUUUGUUCUGACUGCAGCAUUUAGGAUCAUGUUGAAUAGGUACCAGCAGAAUGUACGCUGUUUAAGAAGUAGGUCUGUGGGUUAGGACUAGGUGUAAUUUCAUCUGCUGAGUGAAUGAGUGUUUGCUUCAUGUCCUUGCCCCUUUUGCCUUCUGUGGUAUUUUUAUUCCUGAAGACUAAAGGGUUUGAGUUUGGGUUGGAUCCUUCUGUGAUUUCAGUGUCCAAUACCUCUAGACCUAUACUGUAAGUGUGACCAGAUUAACAGGGCUGUUGAUUUUCCAUGGAGAUGCUUGUUUACAUUUUUACUUAAUCCACAUCUUAUGUGAAAGAGGAGGGAGAGCAGCUUGCUGGCUCUGCAGCAACACACCAAGACCCAGAGUGAAGGUUCUCUCUGUUACUGAUUCGAAUUCCAUGACAUUUUGAAUGAGCUAUCCUCCACUGUCUCGGGCAUUUGAGUACUCCUUUCCCAGUUGGUGACUCUGUUUGGGAAGAUUCAGGAGGUGUGCCCUUGCUGGAGAAAGAAUGUCAGCGGGGCUGGGCUUUGAGGUUUUAGUGCUUUUGCACCACUCCCAAUGCACCAUCUGCUUUGUACUUGUGAUUCUAGAUGUCAUACCUCAGCCUCCUCCUCCUUCCACCAUGCCCUGUAGUCAUGGAACUUAACCUCUGCUAACACACGUUCUCUGAAAUAGAAUCACUAAUGUCCUACUUGUUUUAUAGUUUGCUGUGCUCAUGGCAUUUCUGUCACAGAAAUGCAAAUGUGAUGAUGCUCAUGGCAUUUCUGUCACAGAAAUGCACAUGAAUGCAGAAGGUGACUUAAUGGAGUGGACUCUUGCUGUGUGACACCUGACAAUGCCAGGUUGUACUUGUUUCUUGUUUUGGGAAAUAUGUAAGAAUUCCAGUGCUCUAAGAUGAGUUUAAUGGGCUACACUGGCAAGAACUUGGGAGUCAGGAGUGCCAAGAGCUAUUCAGACUGUGGAAGCCCAGGAGAAGGGUAUUCAGAAGGAAAAAAAAAUGUUUGUAACUGGUCUAGGAUAAUUCCUAUGAGGCUUUUACAAAAAUGUGGCUUCCUUUCUGCCCACAUCCUAAAAACUUACUUGAGGCUAAAUUCAAAAGUAAUAAACAAAUUUCUUUGAUGAAAAUUUGAAGAGAGCCCAGUAUGGCCUCUGUCAUACUGUGCUUAUACUCUUCAAUGAAAAAUAGCAAAUGGGGCAAAAAGAAAUACAAAAUGUACAGUUUACAGAGAAAAAGACACUGGGAAGACUAAUAUUAUAGCCAAUGCCUAUACCAGAAGAGAGCCUGAAAUUGCUUGGAGAUUAGCAUCUUAAUAAGAGGCCAUGUCUCCUCAGGUGAAGACAUCACUCAACUAACUUAGUAAUCUGUGGUAGAAAAUGACUUACUUAGAGUUUUCCUGCUAUUAACAGACACCAUGACCAAAGCAACUCUUAUAAGAAGAACAUUUAUUUGGGUUUGCUUACAAGUUCAGAAGUUUGGCUCAUUAUCAUCAAGGUAGGGGCAUGGCAGCAUCUAGGCAGACAUGUUGCAGGAGGAGCUGGGAGUUCUACAUCUUCAACUGAAGGCUGCUACUAGAAAACUGAUUUUCAUGCAGCUAGGACAAGGAACAUAAGGGUUACAUCUACAGUGACACACUUCCUCAAUCAAGGCUACACCUAUCCAAUGAGGGCUCAUCUGCAAAUAGUCCCACUCCCUGGGCUGAGCAUAUUUAAAUCACUGCAUGAACAUUAGGUAUUUUCAGUUCCUGAUAUAACUUUUGAUCACAAACUGCUGCUGCUAUGGUUCAUGGGGUCCAGGUCUUCUAGAAAUCAAGCAUCUUCUCAUGUACUCUCAUCAGUCACUGGAAGUAAGGAAGCUCAAGAAAGGACUGCUGUGUGGUCUGAGACAGCUGAGAAAGUCUGCUUGAGAAGGUGUGUCAAUUUUCUUCUCUACAUGGAGAUAGUAUGGAGGUUACCUGACCUUACCUGGCCAGUUUUCAUGUUUGGAACCCCUGGACCCUAUUCAUUGUCAGGUAGGAAAGUGACAUUUGGCACUCAAUGACAACUUGUGCCUAUCGUGUACCCAAUGUUGAUAGAUGACUUAAGAAUGUAGGUUUGAAAGGUGUCCAGUUCUAUCUGGGAAGGAGAACAGCAGGCCUGAGAGGAACAGGCUUCAUGUGCAGAGGGAGGUAUCAUCUGUACGUGGGUGGGAGAAGUUUAGAGACGGUUAGUCAAACCUGUGUAUCCAGGAGAGCUCAGUUAACUGUGGAAACAAUAAGAGUAAAGGUAACUUCGAACUUGGAGAAAGAGAAGGUUUGUUGCAACUGUUUGUGGACUGUGCUUCAGAGAUGAUGAGACAUAGAGAAGCUCUGUCUUGGGUUCAUGGCACUAAGCAUGCUAGCUGAGUACUUCACAUCUUAAGUUGUGUAUGAUUUUAGGGGUCUUACACAGAGGUUAUCACCGUAUCUACCAAGAGCAUCUUGCUUUACUUCUAGCAGUCACAUGAAUGUAAAUUUCCUACUUGUUUGUGUUCUUAAAAACUCACUGAUUAGUUUUAGCUGAGCCUCCUGGGAGACUUUGCUCUUAAGUGCUGUAAGUUUUACAUAUUUGGUGAUUAACAUAAAUAACUAUACAUAGGUCAAUACAGGGCCCACACUGACAUCACCUUGCUAUCUGGAGCUGUUAACUCCUAGGCCAAGGUUCUCAAAUGUCUCUGCCUCAGAAAGAAAUGUGGUAGUUUGAUUUCAUAAUCUACUCACAUUCCUUUUGUCACCCAGGAUAUCUGCUAGAAUGAGAGGAUUCUGUCCCAUGCAGGACAAUCUAGAUACUGCUCCCCCAGCAGGAAUGAAAGGGCCACUUCCUGUCUCUGAGGGGCAGUCCCUGGUGUUCACUGUAAUGUCACCCAAUAGUCCCACCUUGAAUCUGCUGUUCCACUUGAGCCUGGAGCCUCCCUUUUAUUCUGGGAGAUAAACAGGUAUCUCCAGCUAGGCAGAGUGGUUCAAACAUGAGAUUUCGUGAGGGCAGUGAGAAUGGUGUAUACACAUUGAGGGUUUCAGAUUGAAUGAUACUGAACUUAAUGUACUUCCUAUUAGAGUCAUCUGUGAGUGACAUGUGAGCUUUGUAUUAAAAUUUACUUUUACGUCCAAGAUUUCAUGGUAUGUCAAUGCCCUACUUGCUUUUGAAGAUGUCCAAGGAACUGGAUAUAAAAGAGAAAAUACAAAUCAGAAAAUGUUCCUAGGUGUACAGCAUUGUUUAGAUGUGCAAGUCCCAGUGCUCAACUCCAAGAGCACACAUUAUGCCUUAGAAAUAGAUGAUAAGUGCUCUCUCUCUCUCUCUCUCUCUCUCUCUCUCUCUCUCUCUCUCUCUCAUGAGUGUGUGUGUGUGUGUGUGUGUGUGCUUGUAUAUGUAUGUGAGAACCUGAAGGUGAGCCCAGGGUCUGCAUGGUCCAGUUGGUACAAGGAUCCCACAUUGUUUGACUCUCAUGUAGACAAGUAUAAUGUUGUUGGGGUGACCAGCAUAUAAACAUUGGGACACGAGAGAACUAUUUACAAAGCCAACAGUUUUGACUGAUUUAUGUGAAUUAGGGCAGAUUUGAGAGCACACUUAAGAGAUUUAAACUGUGUUUGAGAAAAUUUUAUAUAUAUAUAUAUAUAUAUAUAUAUACAUAUAUAUAUAUAUAUAUGUAUACACACACACACACACACACACACACACACACACAUCAUAUCCCUGUACACCCCUUGGUUGGUGGUCUAUUACUGGAAGCACUGGGUGGUCCAGCCAGCAUAUGUUGUUCUUCCUAUAUCGCAAGACCUCCUCUGUCACAGGACAUCCACUGUUUAAGCACCACCACUACCUCAGGAAGUCCACUGUCUGUGUGUCAACUCCACUGUUACAGGACUUCAAGUGUCUCAGUAUCUCAACUAUCACAGGACUUCUACUGUGCCGGAGCUCAAGUGUCUUACAACGUCCAAUGUCAUAAGAUCAUCAAUGUCACAAGAACUCCUCUGUCCAAGGAACUGCACAGUCCAAACAACACUAUGAUUGCAGGACAUUCACUGUGGAAACACCUCUACUAUAGUAGGGCCUCCACUAUCCAUAUAUCAACUCGACUGUCACAGAUCACCCAUUGCUGCAGGACCUCCACUGUCACAGGACCUCCACUGUAGGAGCACUACAACUGUCGCAGGAUCUCCAGUGUCUUAUAACCUGCUCUAUCCCAGGACUUCCACUGUUGUAGCACCACCAUGGUCACAGCAACUACACUGUUUCAGGACAUCAACUGAAGCAGGACCUCCAAUGAUGCUCCAACUUCUCUGUCACGUGAUCUCUACAGUUACAGGAAUACUCCUGUAUCAUCAAUUCCAAUAGCUGGACCUCAGUUGUCACAGGACCUCCACUGUAGCCGAACCUUCAAUUUUGCAGCACCUCCACUGUAGGUAGAAUGACCUCCCCUAUCGCAGUGCCUCCACUUUCAAAGGACCUUCACUGUCACAGAACCUGCACAAUUUCAGUGCCUCUGCUGUUGCAGGACCUACCUCUUCACAGGAUCUGCACUGUUGCAGCAACUCUAAUUGCACUUUUACAAAGGCAUUACUGGUUAUUAGAUUUGAGGCUGAAUGGAAUGUGAUGUUACUUUCGCAAACAUAAGAAUUUGUUCUGUGCCUCUUGUGAUUAAUGCCACAUGUGCUAGGACCAGUAACUUAUGGAAAGAUUCCAUGAGGUCAUAGCACUCUCCACCUCACCUUGUGGAAACUGGUGUUUUCAGAGGAUGAUAAACUUCAGGUGAAGGGAUGCAGUCAGCAAGACCACGCUCUAGAGUGGGGUACACAGCAGUCAUAUUGAGUCCCUGCUGGGAAGAAAUCCAGAAGAGGGAGAAGGCUUGGGUUAGAGGAAGAAUCGUAAAAUAUUUAGAGAAUAUAAGAAGGUAAGAAUUAUGGGGAACUGGAAAACAGAGACAGAGGAAGAAUGAGCACAGAGCAAACUGGGAUGGACAAAGCACAAAUGUACCUGGGUUGUGCCUUCUGCAUGUUCUCUGGACGAUCGCCUUGUGCCUCAUUUCUGGGAGAACACUCUCUUCUCCCCAUAUAAAGUUUCUUUCUUGAAAGAAAGCAGCAACACAACUUCAUCAGUGAAUUCCCUAUUGAAAUUUGUUCGUUCCUUCAAAGCCUCUGGGAAGGCCCUAGCUGGGGAAAGUCCUCUCUGCUGAGAAACAGCAGGAAAGUAGGUUGUCCUCUGUGUUCUCAUUGCUACUGCUCUUCUAAGUGUGGUUGAUUGUUGAUUGAAGACACAGGGCACUUCCAGCAUGUAUGUAUGCUUUAUUCAGUGUGGGUGGCAUUGGCUGUAUCCUGAAAAGAAGGGCAGACCCUUCUGCCUCCUCUUUGACUAGGCUUAAGAUCAUAGUCAGACACUUAACCAUUGGAAGAUGAGACCAAUAUGUCUACAGUGUACUCACUUCUAUUCCUCUUUAGUCCUAGAGGGAAAUCAGUGCCAUCAGCAAGGGUGGGGAAUGGGGCCCUAACUGGACAAACUUGCUGAGCCUGGGUUAUGCAGCCAUGCCGGUGAAUAGCUUCCCCUUACAUUAAGUAAUAAGAUGCCAUGCUCUGGUUGUACCUUCCCUGAUACAGUGAAUCUAUAAUCUCUUGGCCUCAAAACCCAAUAUAUUACAUUGCUUUCACAAGUGGAGUGUCUGGCAUGAGAGGGAUCAUUUCCUCAUAGGGAUUUGGGAACCACUUACAGUCUUCAUUGAGCAUGGGUGUGUCAUCACCUAUGUGACUGUUAGCCCAUAUCUGUGAUUCACUGUCAUUAGGAGGCUAAGCUGCCUCUUCUGACACCCCACAGUGGGCCGGAUACACACCACUCACAACCUGUCUCCUCAGCUCUUGUAUGACAAAAUCUAACCCAACUCCUAAGUCCAUAUGUUGGGUUUAUUUUGUUUUUGGAACAUCCUAACGUUUUCCUAGGAAGAGAUCAGGUGCACCAUUAGGAUAAGCACCAUGCUGCCAGUUCAGCAUUUGCCCAAAUUUGACUUGCCUUGAAGGCCAAAGUUGAUGAUUUUGACUUUUCCAUUCUUCUCUAACAGAAUAUAAUCUGGUUUCAGGUCACUGUGUACUUUUACAGUGCCCAUAGCCGUAGAUUAAGCCUGCUAAUAUUUACCCAAAUAUUUCCUUGACCCUGUACUCCUCUAAGGGGAAAGACUUUCAAAUGUAUUUGUAAAGCUGUAAAAUUUCAACCAGUUUCAUGAUAAGUUAUUAGACUUGUCUCAGACUCAAUUGGAGAAGCAAGAUGAUGUUGGGGUGGAUGAAAAUCUUCAUUAUAUUUGCCAUGGUCAUGUUUGGCUGGCACCAUUGCUUCUUCUUUGCAUGCACUUUGAUAACCCCUGUAGCAGAACUUCCACUGUCCCAACACCUGCACUAUCCCAAGACCUCCACAGUCAAAGGACCAAUAUUGUGGUAGGGUGUCUGUGGUCAGGCAACUUCACUGUCUCAGACCCUCCAAAUUGCAAGACCUUUACAGGCACUGGAAGUUACUGUCCCUAAACUUCCACUGUUGGAGUACCUCAACUGUAACAAGGACCUCUAUCAUUGCAGAACCCCCUUGUCAUAGCACCUCUACAAUUAAAAGAAGUCCACUGUCAAAUGACCUCCAGUGUCUCAGCCCCUCCACUGUUGCAGGAUCUCUACUGUCUCAGGAUCACUACUGUUGCAGGACCUCCCCUCUCUCAGCAGCUCCAAUUUGCAGGAGCUCUCCUAUCAGAGGACAUUUACAUUUUCUGUACUUCCAGUGUCACAGCACCUCAACUGUUAAAAGAAUUUCCAUACUCACAGGACCGCCAAUGUCUCAGUAACUCCACUGUCCUAGGACCUUUAUGUUAUAGGACCUCUGCUGACACAAGAUGUCCACUGUUGCUAGACUUCCACUGUCAUAACCACUCAACCAUUACAAGGACUGCAAUUUUGGCAUGACCUCCACUGUCCCAUCCCCUCCAGUGUCAUAGGACCUCCACUCUCACAGGAUAAUCCACUGUCUCAGCAAGGCCAAUUUUCAGGACCUCUACUAGGACAGGAUAUCCAUGGUAGCUGGACGUACACUGUUGAAGUACCUCAACUGUUGCAGGACCCACAGCGUUGCAGGACAUGGACCCUCUCAGCUUCUAGAAUUUGCAGGACCUCUACUGGCACAGAAAUCCCACUGUUGCUGGAGAUCCACUGUCAUUGAAAAUGCAUUGUCUCAUGAUAUUCACUGUUGCUGGACCAAUAGUGUGGCAGCACCUCCAUUUUAUCCAAACCCCUCCACUGAUGCAGGAUCUCCACUUUUGUCGUACCUUCACUGUCCAAGCAAACCAACUAUUUCAGGAUCUCCAGUGUCUCAGGGCAUUCACUAAUGCCCGUCCUCCAACGUUGUAGGAUAUCCACUUUCUCAACAGCUACACUUUGGCAGGACCUCUAUUGGCAGAGAAAGUCCACUGUUGCUGGACCUCCACUGUCAGUGCAAAUGCACUCAUUCAGGACCUCUACUUUUCUAAGGACCUCUAAUAUUGCAGGACCUCUAAUGUCCCAGGACCUCAAGUGAUGCAGCACCUCCUUUGUCCCAUCACCUUUACUGUCCCAGAACCUCCACUUUCCCAAGACCUAUUCUGUUGCAGGGCCUCCAAAGUUGGAAGAACUGCACUGUAUCAAGACCUCAACUAUUGCAGGACCUCCAUCAUUUUAGGAACACAAAAGUUACACUGUCCAUAACCUUCAUUCUCCUAGCACCUCCACUCUCACAGGACCUACACUGUUGGCAGGAACUCCAAUGUCUAUGCAACUGCACUGUCUCAGGACCUCAAUGUUCCAGAACCUCCAAUGGUGCAGGACCUCCACUGUCAUGGACCUCCACUGUCUCAGGACAUCCACUCUAUCACCACCUAGACUUUUGCAGGACCUCUACUGGCCCAGGAUCUCCAUUGUUGCUGGUCUUACAUUGUCUAAAGACCUCUACUAUCACAGAAAUGCCACUGUUGUAGAACCUUCACUGUCACAGGGCCUCCACUGUCCAAGACCUCCACUGUUGCAGAACAUCCACUCUUGCAGCAUGUGCAUUGUCUCCUGACCUCCACUACAGCAGUCAAAUCUCCACUGUAUCGUGACUUCCACUCGUGCAGGUCUUCCAAUGUUGCAUGACCUCCACUGUGAAAGUAACUCCACUAUCUCAGUGCCUCCACUGUUACAGGACCUACACUGUCAGAGGAUCUGCACUGCUGCACCAGCUCCACUGUCACAUUUUUGAAAGCAUUGCUUGUUGUUAGUGUUGAGGCUUCAUGAAAUGUGAUGCUACCUCUGAAAAGUUAAGAAUUUUUUCUUCAGCUCUUGUGAUUAAUGUCCAGAUGUGCUAGAUCAGUAGCGCAUAGAAAACUCAAUGAGCCGAUAGCCUUCGAAGCCUCACCUUGUGGGUUCUGUUGUCUUUUGGGAGUGCUAAAGUCCAGGUGAAGGCAUGCGGUCAGAAGGAUAACUCUAGUGUGGGGUACACAUCAGUUGUGUUGAGUUCCUGCUGGGAAGGGUAGAAAUCCAGAACUGAAAGAAGGCUUAUGGUGGAGUAAGAAUCAUACAAUGCUAGAAUAGGUGAAACAGAAACAAUUUUGCAGAAAUGGAAACCAGAGACACAGGAGGAACCAGCACAGAACAAACUGGGUAGGACAAAGCACAAAGGUACCUGCGCUGAGCCUGCCUGCUGCUUGUUCUUUGGAUGUACUCUAGCCUUUAUUUCUCAGGAGAGACACUGUGCUGUCCCAGGAGAGUUUUCUUGCUUGAUGGAGCACAGGAAUACUGCUUGAUUUGGAUAUUCCUAAUUUCUUGGUCCACCCUGUAAAUCAUCUGAGCAUGCUCCUGCUUGGGACAGUCUUGCCCUCUCCUGAGGCCCAGAGGGAUAAUAGGAUGUCUUCUGUGGUUUCAUUGCUGCUUUCGUUCUCCCUGAGGCUGCUUGUUGACUGAAGGCAGAAGACACCCUGCCAUGUAUGUUUUGUCCAGUGUGCUGUCACCUGGAGUGGCCUGAAGAAAAGGCCAGUCCCAGUGGUUCUUCUGAAUCUUCUAUGACUAGAGUUAUGGACAUAGGCAUAAAAGAGGCCAUGGGGAAUGACAAGUUCAAUGUGCCAAUGGUGGGUUGGUUUCCACUCCUCUGAAGUCCUAGAGGGAAAGCAGCAUAAUCUUUAAGGGUAGGGAAUGGAGCCCUAACUGGACUCAAUGAGGGAGCCUGGUUAUGAAGCCAGCACCUGGAUAGCCUGCCCUUUCAGUAAGCCAUUGGACGCCAUUAUCCGUUAAUAAUUUUUUUUGAUUUAAAGAAUCUUUAUUUCUUGGGCUUAGAACUGAAUAUAUUACAUCACUUCCACAAUUCUAGGGUGUGGCCUGAGGUAUCAUUUCCUCAUAGGGAUUUGGGAAACCCUCCCAUUAUUUGAAGCAAGGUUGCAUUAUGAGGUUUGUGACUGUCAGCCUAUAUCUGGGGUUUACUGUGAUUAAGAGAUAAUGAUGAUGGUUGACCAUCAUAAACGUUGACAAAGAGGAGUUCAGGGGCAACAGAAGUGUAAGCACCACAGUGGUGCUUCAGCAUUUGCCCUGGUUCAACUCGGGUACUAAGGCGAAAUUCGAUUAUUUUGUUUUUUUCCAUUAAUAUCCAAGAUAAAUACUAUUUGGCUUCAGGUCCCUGUGAAAUAUUGUGUGCCCAGGGCAGUAGUUCAUCACUGCUAAUAUUUGCAAUAUAUUUUACUGACUUGUCCUGCUUUAGGUAGCCAUACUUUUGGAUGUAUUUGUAAAACUGUUGAGCUUCAACAAGCUCCAAGACAAGAUAUAAUAUUGUUUUGGUCUCAAUUAUUUGAAGAAGCCACGUGAUGUUGGGGUUGUCACCCAUCAUCAUCACUGCCAUGGUCAUUACUGGCUGGCAUUAUUAUUUCUCCAUUACAAGGACUUUGACAGCCACUGUCACAGGACCUAAUCUGUGGUAGAACCUCCACUCUCAGGCAACUCCACUUUCUCAGGACCUCCAAAUUGCAGGACCUCCCCUGGCAUAGAAUGUACAUUUUUGCAGGACUUUCACUCUUGUAGCAACUCAACUCUUAAAAGACAUCCACUUUAGCAAGAUUUCCAGUGUCUUAGCACCUCCCUUCUUGAAGGACCCCCACUAUUGUAGGACCUCCACUGUUGCAGCACAUCCAUUCUCUCAGCAUCUAGAAUUUUGCAGAAUGUCAACUGGCAUAGAAAGUCCACAGUUGCUGGUUCUUCAAUGUCAUGAUAAAUCCACCGUAUCAGGACCUUCACUGUUGCAGGACCUCCAGUGUUGAAGCACAUACACUGUUUCAGGGCCACCACUAUCACAGGACCUUCUCUGUCACAGGAUCGCCACUCUCUCAGCACUUAUGCAGUCACAGGACCUUCAUUGCUUUGGACCUCCACUCUUGGAGAACCUCCACUGGUCAAGCACAUCCACUAUCUCAGAAACUCCAGUGUCUCGGGACAUUCACUGUUGCAGGAUCUCCCAUGUCUUAGCACACUUAUUUUUGCAGGACCUCCACUCUCCCAGACUCAUCUCUACUGUCUCAGGACCUACACUAUAACUGUUGGACCUCUAAUGUCACAGGACCUCAAAUGACACUGGAUCUCCACUGUCCAAUCACCUUAACUGUCCCAACUCCUUCACUGUCGCAGGACCUACACUGUUGCAGGACCUCCAAUAUCGGACCAAUUUCCUGUCUCAGGGACCUCCAAUGUUGCAUGACCUCCACUGUUAAAAGAUAUCCACAGUUGCAGGAUAGCUAGUAGAGUUUUGCAGGACCUGUAGUGGCCCAGGACCUCCAUUGCUGAUGGUCCUCCACUGUCUCAGUACCUUAACUAACACAGGACCUCCACUGUUGAAGCACCUCCACUGUCCUAGGAUGUCCACUAUUGCAGACAACCUCAGUCUUAAGUACCUCCAUUUUUGAAGGACCUCCAUGGUGCAGGACCCCCACUCUUAGAGUGCCUCCAUUGUUGUAGCACCUCCACUGUCCCAGCCUCAUCUCCACUGUCUCAGGACCCAUAUUAUUGCAGGAUCUCCAAUGUUGCUGGACUUCUACUGUUGCAGUACCUCCAGUGUUGCAGGACCUACACCGUAGCAGGAUCUGCACUGUUGCACCAAUUCUACUUUCACAUUUUGUUGACAUUGCUGGUUAUUAGAUUUGAGUCUUAAUGGAAUGGGAUAUUACUUUUGAAAACACAGGAAUUUUUUCUGCAUCACAUGUGAUUGAUGACCACAUAUUCUAGGACUGAUAUCCCCUGGAAGAUUCCAUGAGCCCUUAGUCCACCAGUCUUCACCUGGUCAGAGGUGUUGUGUUUUGGGAGAAGUUGAAUCCAGGUUAAGGGAUGGGAUCAGCAGGACACAGUUCUGUAGAGUGGGCUACAUAUCAGUCAUAGUGAGUCCCCUCUGGGAUGAGUAGAAAUCCAGAACUGAGAAAAUGCUAUUACAGGACCUCCAUUGUCUAAACACCUCCACUAUUGCAGAACCUCCACUGUCCAUACAUCAACCAGCUCCACUGUCCCAGAGCCUGAGAUGUUGAAGAAUCUCCACUGUCACAGGACCUCCAUUGCUGCAGGACCUCCACUGUCACAGGACCUCCAAUGACUCAGCAACUACACUUUUGUAGGACCAGCAUUGGCACAGGAUAUGCACUGUUGGUAAGCCCUCCACUAGCCUAUAACCUCCACUGUCCCAGAACUUCCACUGUUGUAGCACUACCAGGGUCAAAGCAACUACAGUGUUUCAGGACAUCAACUGAAGCAGGACCUCUAAUGAUGCUGCACCUUCACUGUCACAGGAUCUCUACAUUUACAGGAAUACCACUGUGUCAGCAAUUACAAUUUUGCAGGACCUCAGUUGUCACAGGACCACCGCUGUAGCCAAAUCUUCAAUUGUGCAGCAUCUCCACUGUAGGUAGAAUGACCUCCCCUAUCGCAGUGCCUCCACUUUCAAAGGACCUUCACUGUCCCAGAACCUGCACUAUUUCAGUGCCUCCACUGUUACAGGACCUACCUCUUCACAGGAUCUGCACUAUUGCAGCAACUCUAAUUACACUUUUUCAAAGGCAUUACCAGUUAUUAGAUUUGAGGAUGAAUGGAAUGUAAUGUUACUUUUGAAAACAUAAGAAUUUGUCCUGUAUCAUUUGUGAUUAAUGGCCACAUGUGCUAGGACCAGUAACCUAUGGAAGAUUCCCUGAUCUGAUAGCUCUGUAGCCCUCAUCUUGUUGAAGCUGUUGUGCUUAGAGGGUCAUACAGUUCAGGUGAAGGGAUUGGAUCAGCAAGACAACUCUGUGGAGUGGAGUACAAUUAAGUCGUAUUGAGUCCCAGCUGGGAAAAGGAGAAAUCCACAAGACGGAGAAAGCUUGUGGUGGAGGAAGAAUCGUGAAGUACUUAGAGAGUAUAAGAAGGUAAGAAUUGUGGGGAAAUGGAAAACAGAGCCAAAGGAAGAAUGACCACAAAGCAAAGUGGGAGGGGUAAAGCACAAAGGUACCUCGGUUGUGCCUUCUGCUUGUUCUCGGGGUGCUCUCGCCAUGCCUCAUUUCUGAGAGAACACUGUUCUGCCUCAUGUAAGGUUUCUUUCUUGAUGUAAAGCAGAAACACAACUUGAGGGAUUCUCUCAUCUUCUUGGUCCAUCCUUUAAGUCCUCUGGGAAGGCCCCAGCUGGGGAAAGGCCUGCUCUCAGCUGACAAACACCUGGAGAAUAGGUUGUCCUUUAUGUUCUAAUUGGUGCUGCUCUUGUAAGUGUGUCUGCUUGCUGAGUAAAUGCAGGGGAAACCUCUGUCAUGUAUAUAUGCUUUGUCCAGUGUGGCUGUCAUCGGAAGUGUCCUGGAGAGAAGGGCAGUCCAGUGACUCUUCUGCUUCCUUUUGACUAGCCUCAUUAUUAUAGGCAGACAUUAGACCCUUGGAAGAUGAGGAGACCAAUGUGUCUAUGGUGUUCUCACUUCUACUUCUCUUUAGUCCUAGAGGGAAAUCAGUGCCAUCACCAGGGGUAGGGAAUGUUGCCAUAACUGGACAAACUUGCUGACCUUGGGAUCUGCAGCAAUGCCCAUAGAGAGCCUGCCCUUACAGUAAGCAAUGGGAUGCCACGGUCUGGUAAUAUUUUCUUUGAUGUAUCUAUAAUAUCUUAGGCUCGAAGCCCAAAAUAUCCAAUUGCUUCCACAUUAGCAGUGUCUGGCGUGAGGGGGAUCAGUUCCUCCAAGGAUUUGGGAACCACUUCCACUCUUCAUUGACCAGGGGUACAUCACUACUUCUAUGACUAUCAACCCAUAUCUGGGGUUGACUGCCAUUAAGAUGCUACACAGAUCUCCAGCUCUUCGGACACCCAACAGUGGGCAGGAUACACACCGGCCACAACAUGUCUUCUCACCUUUUUAUAACAACUGAGUCAAAUCCUACAACAGUGAAAUAUAAGCCUACUCCUUAACUCAAAUAUUGUUCUUUGUUCCAUUACAAUGUUUGCCUAGGAUGUAAUAACAGGCAUCAAAAUUGUAAACACCGUAGUGCCAGCUCAUCGUUUUCUCAGGUUCAACUUUGCUAGGAAAGGCCAAAGUUGAUGAUUUUGACUUUUCCGUUCUUGUGUAACAAAAUAUCACUCGAUUUCAAGUCUCUGUGAACUACACCGUGCCCAUCACAGUAUAUCGAGUCUGCUAAUAUUUGCCUAAAUAUUUCCCUGACCUUGUCUUCCUCGAGGUGGCAAGACUUUCAGAUGAAUUUGUAAAGCUAUAGAAUUUCAACCAGCUCCAUGAGAAGGUAUAGAUGUGUCUCAGACUCAAUUACCUGGUGAAGCAAUAUGAUAUUGGUGUGGAUGAAUAUCUUCAUUAUAUUGGCCAUGCUCUUGUCUGACUGGCACCCUUGCUGCUUCUUUGCAUGCACUUUGAUAACCACAGUAGCAGGACUUUCACUGUCCCAGUCACUGCACUAUCCUAAGACCUCCCUUGUCACAGGACCUCCACUGUGGUAGUACCGCAGCUGUCAGGAAACUCCACAGUCUCAUUACCUCCAAACUGCAAGAUCUCUACUGGCACAGGAAUUGUACUGCCCCUGGACUUCCACUGUCACAGCACUUCAACUGUUACAAGGACCUCUACUGUUGUAAGACCUCCUAUAUCACAGCACCUCCACGGUGACAAGGACCUGCAUUGUCAAAAGACCUCCAGUGUCUCAGCCCCUCCACUGACUCAGGACUUUCAAAUUGCAGGAACUCUACUAGCACAGGUCAUCCACAGUUGCAGUUCCUCAACUGUUAUAAGGACCUCCAUUUUUGCAGAACCUUCAGUGUCCCUGCACCUUCACAGUCUCAGCAACGCCAACUUGCAGGACCUCUACUAGCACAGGAUGUCCACAGUAGGUAUACUUACACUGUUGCAUUACCUCAAUUGUUGCAGGACCUCCGAUGUGGUAGGACAUCCACAUUUUCCGCAGCUAGACUUUUGCAGGACCUCUACUGGCCCAAAAAAAUUCCUCUGUUCUGGACCUCCACUGACAGUGCAAAUGCACUGUCUCAGGACCUCCACUGUUGCAAGACCUCCAAUGUUGAAGGAUGUCCAUUGUUUUAGGACAUUCCCUGUCAAAGAACCUCAACUGACACACAACCUCUGCUUUUGUAGGAUUUUCACUGUCCUAGAAAACCAAGUAUUGCAGGAAUUAUAAACUUGGAGCAACUGCAUUGUAUUAGGACAUUUACUCUUGCAGGACCUGCAGUGUGGUUGCACCUCCAUUUUAGCCAGGUCUCAACUGUAACCAGGCUCAUCUCUGCUGAAUCAGCACCUCCAAUAUUGCAGGACAUCCAAUAUUUCAGGUUCUCAAACAUCCCAGGACCCCAAUUGAUGAAGGACUUCCAAUGUUGCAGGACCACAAUAGUCACAGGUCCUCCACUGUCCCAUCACUUUUAUUUCUCCCAGCACCUCCACUCUCACAUGGCCUACAAUGUUGCCUAACCUCCAAUGCCUGAGCAACUACACUGUCUCAGGACCUCGAUUGUUCCAGAACCUCCAAUGGUGCAGGACCUCCACUGUCACCAGAUCUCCACUGUCUCAGAACAUCCACUCUAUCACCGACUAGACUUUUGUAGAACCUCUCCUGGCAUAGCAUCUCCAUUGUUCCCAGCCUUACAUUGUCUCAAAACCUCCACUAUCACAGGAGUGCCACUGUUGUAGAACCUCCACCGUAACAGACCUCCACUGUUGGAGGACCUCCCCUGUCUAAACACAUCCACUAUUGCAGGACCUCCACUGUCUAAGGAAUUCCGCUGUUCCAGGACAUCCACUCUUGCAGCACAUGCAUUGUCUCUGGACUUCCACUGUACCAGUCCCAUCUCCAAUGUCUCAGGACCUCCACUCUUACAGGACCUCCAAUGUUCACAACCUCAAAUACAAAACUGCACUAUCCCAGUGCCUCCACAGUUGCAGGCCCCAAACUGUCACAGGAUCUGCACUGUUUCAUUAAUUCCCCUGUCCCUUUUUUGAAAGCAUUGCUGGUUAUUAGUUUUGAGGCUUAAUGGAAUGUGAUGGUAUUUUUGAAAAAAUAACAAUUUUUCCUGCACAUCUUGUGAUUAAUUACCAGAUGUGCUAGGAUCAGUUGCCCCUAGAGGGUUGCACGAGCCCACAGCCCUGUAGACCUCACCUUGUGGCAGCUGUUUUGUUUCGGGGGUGUUACAGUCCAGGUGAAGGCAUGGGGUCAGCAGGACAACUCUGUAGUCCGGGGUACACAUCAGUCACAUUGAGUCCUUGCUGGGAAAAGGAGAAAUCCAGAAUAGGGAGAAGGCAUGGGGAGGAGGAAGAAACAGACAGUACUUACCGAAGUUAAAACGGAAACUAUUUGCAGAAAUGGAAAUCAGAGACACAGGAGGAAUCAGCACAGAGCAAACUGGGCAGGACAAGGCACAAAGGUACCUGGGCUGUGCCUGCCUGCUGCUUGUUCUUUGGAUGCUGUGUCUAUCCCUCAUUUCUCAGGACAGACACUGUCCUGUCCCAGGGGAGUUUUCUUGCAUGAUCGAACAAAAGAACACUGCUUCAUUUGGAUAUUCCUAAUUUCUUAGACCAUCUCUUAAAUCCUCUGGGCCAGGCCAUGCUGGGGACAGACUUGCCUACUCCAGAGGCACAGAGAGAUAAAAGCAAAGGGUAAUCAUCAUAGUGUUGGUUCUGUAUUUGCCCUAUAUCAACUUGGUUCAUAAGGCCAAAGACCAUGACUUUGACUUUUCCUUUCUUGUCCAAGAAAAUAUCAUGUAUUGUCUUCUGUGUUGUCAUUACUGCUUCUGUUCUCCCUGAGACUGCUUGUUGACUGAAGGCAGCAGACACUCUAGCAUGUAUUCUUUGUCCUGCAUGGGUGUCAUCUGGAGUGCCUGGAGGAGAAGGCCAGUCUCAGUGGUUCUUAAUCCUCUAUGACUAGUGUUUUGGACAUAGGCAGAAACGAGGCCAGGGGGGAUGACAAGUCCAAUGUGCCAAUGGUGGGUUGGUUUCCACUCUAAAGUCCUAGUGGGAAAGCAGCAUAAUCAUAAGGGUAGGGAAUGGAGCCAGUCUGAGACUGGUUGUGAAGCCAGGCACUUGGAUAGCCUGCCCUUCCAGUAAGCAAUUGGAGGCCAUGGUCUGGUUAUACUAUCUUUAAUAUAAAGAUUCUUUAUAUCUCGGGCUUAGAACUGAAUAUAUUUUAUUACUUUCCUCCCAUUCUUUGAAGCAGGAUUGCGUUAUUACAUCUGUGAUUGUCAGCUUAUAUCUGGGGUUUACUGUUAGUAAUAGAAAAUUAUGAUGGUUGACCAUAAACAUUGACAAAGAAGAGUUCAAGGGCACCAAAAUUGUAAGCACCAUAGUGCCGGUUUAGCAUUUGCCCUGUUCAAUUGGGGUACUAUGGAUAAAGUUGCUGAUUGUGGCUUUUCCAUUGAAAUCCAACAUUAUAUUAUAUGGCUUCAGGUAGCUGUGAAACAUUGUGUGCCCAUGGCAGUAGAUCAUCACUGCUGUUCUUUGCAAAAUAUUUUCCUGACCUUGUCCUGUUCUAGGUAGCCAUACUUUUGGAUGAAUUUGGAAAGCUGUUGACCUUCAACAAGCUCCAUGAUGAGACAUAAUUUUGUUUUGCUCACAAUGACUUGAAGAAGUGAGAUCAUGUUGAGGUGGUUACCCAUUAUCAUUACUGCCAUGGUCAUUACUGGCUGGCUCAUUGCUUCUACAUUAGCAGGACUUUGAUGUCCACUAUGCAGCAACUCCACUGUGAUAGAUACUCUGCUGUCUAGGCAACUCCACUUUCUAAGGACUACAAAUUUGAGGACAUCUACUAGCACAGGAUGUACACAUUUGCUGGACUUUCACUGUUGCAGCAACUCAACUCUUAAGGGAUGCCCACUGUUGCAGGUUUUCCAGUGUAUCAGGCUGCCACUCUUGAAGGACCUUCACUAUUGUAGGACCUCCACUGUUGAAGCACAUCGAUUAUCUCACCAAUUAGAAUUUAUAGGAUGUCAAUUGGCACAGAAAGUCCACUGUUGCAUGACCUCCAUUCUCACUGUAAAUCUACUGUCUCAGGACCUCUACCUUUGUAGGACCUCCAGUGUUGAAGGAUUUCCACUGUUGCAUGUCCACCACUGUCACAGGACCUCCUCUGUCACAGGACUUCCACUCUUCCAGGCUCAUCUCCACUGUCUCAGGACGUCUACUAUAUCUGUAGGACCUCCAAUGUCGCAGGACCUCAACGGACACUGGACCUUCACUCACCAAUCACCUUAACUAUCAAAGAACCUCCACUGUCUCAGGACCUUCACUGUUUCAGGGCCUCCAAUGUUGGAGCAACUGAACUGCCUCAGGGGCAGGACCUCCAAUGUUCCAGGACCUCCAUUGUCACAGGGCCUCCACUGUCACAGGAUAUCAACUCUUUUAGACUUUUGCAGGACUUCUGCUGGCACGUGACCUCCAUUUUUGAGGGUUCUCCACAGUUUCAUUACUUUUACAUUGACAGGAAUACCAUUCUUGCAGAACCUCCACUGUCCCAGGACCUCCAGUAUUACGGACUUCCUCAGUCCAAGUAGCUCCAUUAUUGAAGGACAUCUCUGGUUGCAGGACAUCCACUUUUACAGUGCCUCCGUUGUUAUAGGACACCCACUGUUCCAGCCUAAUCUCCACUCUCUCAUUAUCUCCAAUAUUUUAUGAUUGCCAAUAAUGGUGGACUUCCAUUGUUACAGUAAUUCCACUAUCUCUGUGCCUACAUUGUUUCAGGACCUACACUGACUCAUGAUAGGCACAGCUGCAUCAAGUUCACUUUCAAUUUUUAUUGACAUUGCUAGUUAUUAUAUUUCACCCUUACUGGAAUGUGAUGUUACGUUUGAAAGCCCAAGAAUUUGUUUUUUUAGCACAUGUGACUGAUUUCCACAUGUUCUAGGACUGUUAUCCCCUGGAAGAUCACAAUAGCUCAUAUCCCUCUAUUCCUCACCUUGUGGGAGCUGUUGCCUUUCAGAGGGUAAUGCAAUUCAGGUGAAAGGAUAGGAUCAGCAAGUGAUAACUUUGUAGAGUGGGGUAUACAUCAGUUACAUUGAGUUCCUGAUGGGAAGAGGAGAAAUCCAGAACAGGAAUAACCCUUGGCAUAGAGGAAGAAUCAAACAGUACUUACAGAAGGUAAGAAGGUACCAAUUUUAAAGAAAUGGAAAUGAUAGAGGAAGAACCAGCACAGAGCCAACUGAGUAAGAUAAAGCACCAAGGUACCUGGGCUGUACCUGGUCCUUGUUCUCUGCAUGCUAUCCUUAUUCGUUCUUUUUGGGGAGACUCUGUCCUGCCUCUUGUGAAGUUUCUUUCUUGGUGUAAAGCCAUAACAAAGGUUCAUCAGGGAACUUCCCCCAUUUCUUCCUCCAUCUCUUAAAGCCUCUGCUCCGACACCAGCUGGUGAAUAUCUUGCACUCUUCUGAAGCACAGACAGAGAAUAUGUUGUUUUUUCUGUUCUCAUUGAUGCUGCUCUUCUCCCUGAAGCUGCUCAUUCAGUAAAUGUGGGAGACAGUGUCUUUUGUCCAGUGUUGGUGUCAUCUGGAGUGGCCUGAAGAGAAGGCCAGUCCCACUGGGUCUUCUGCCUACUCUAUAACAAGAAUUUUGGAUAAAAACAGAAGUUAGACCAUUGGAAGAUGACGAAACUAAUGUGCUGAUGGUGGGCUGGCUUCUGCUCUUCUUUAUUCCUAGAGGGAAAGCAGCAGCAGCAUCAAUGUUAGGGAAUGGUGCCAUAACUGUUCUCACUAGGUGACACUGUGUUGUGCAGCCAUGUCCCUUGAUAGCCUGCCCUUGCAGUAAGCAAUAGGAUGCCAUGGUCUUGAUAUACUUUUUUUGGUACCUGUAGUAUCUAGGGCUUGGAACCAAAUAUAUUGUAUUGCUUCCACAAUUGCAAGUUCUGUCCUGAGUGUGAUCAGUUGCUCAUAGGGAUUUGGGAAUGCUUUUCUGUCUCUCUUGAACUAGAUUUGCAUGAUGGCGUCCAUGACUGUCAGCCUGUAUCUGGGGUUUACUCUCAUUAAGAACUUAUGCAGGUCAUCCAGCUCUUCUCAUAUCCCACAGGGGGCAGGAUUCACACAGGCUACAACCUGACUUCUCAGCCCUUUUAUGACUAGUCAAAUGAAACCUCUGACUACCAUGAAAUGUAAGACUACUCAUGUCUUCCCUGUGUCAUUCUUUGGACUAUCAUAAAAUUUGCCUAGAUAGAGCUCCACGGCAGCAAAAGGUAAUCAUCAUAGUGUCAGUUCUCUAUUUGCCCUAUAUCAAAUUGGUUCAUAAAGCCAAAGACCAUGACUUUGACUUUUCCUUUCUUGUCCAAGAAAAUAUCAUGUGUUUUGAGGUUUCUUUGAACUAUUAUGUGACUAUGGCAGUAGUUCAUGUCUGAUAGUAUUUACCUAAAUGUUUCCCUGGUUUUGUUCUCCACCAACUGGCCAGCUGUUCAGACGUGUCUGUAAAACUGGUGACCUUCAAGUAGCGUCACGACAAGGUAUUGUCUUGUUUCAGACUCAAUUACUUGGAGUAGUGAAAUGAUGUUGGAAUGGUCAAAAAUCAUCAGUACAUGUGCCAUCUUCAUUACUGGCUGUCACCCUUGCUUCUUCUUUACCAGCACUUUGACAGCCACUGUAGCAGGACAUCCACUGUUCCAGUAUGGUAAUGACCCAGUACCUCCACUAUCACCGUUCUUCCACUCUUGCAGGACCUCCACUCUUGCAGGACCUCCACUCUUGCAGCACCUGCAUUUAGUCAGGACCUCCACUGUACCAGUCCCAUCUCCAUUUUCCCAGGAACUCUACUCAUGCUGGUCCUCCAAUGUUGCCUGACCUCCAAUGUAAAAGUACCUGCACUAUCUCAUUGCCUCCAGUAUUGCAGGACCAACAUUGUCACAGGAUCCACACUGUUUACUAAGUCCACCAUCACUGUUUUGAAGGAAUUGCUGGUUAUUAUUUUUGAGGCGUAAUGGAAUGUGAUGUUACUUCUGAAAACUUAAGAAUUUGUUCUUCAGCUCUUGUGAUUAAUUGCCAGAUAUGUUAGGAACAGUUGCCUCUGGAAGAUUCCAUUAGCCCAUAGUAGGCCUCUAGGCCUGACCUUGUGGGAGCUGUUGUAUUUUGGGGUGCUCUAAGUACAGAUGAAGGCAUGGGGUCAGCAGGACAAGUCUGUAGAGUGGGGUACACAUCAGUCAUAUUUAAUGCCUGCUGGGAACUAGAGAAAUAUAGAACAGCAAGAGGGCUUGGCAUAGACCAAGAAUCAUAUAGUACUUACAGAAGUUAAAAAGGAAACAAUUUUGAACAAAUGGAAAUCAGAGACACAGGAGGACCCUCAUAGAGUAAAUUGGGUAGGACUUAGCACAAAGGUACCUGGGUUGUGCCUGCAACUUGUUCUCUGGAUGCUCUAACUGUGCUUCAUUUCUCAAAAGAGACAAGGUGUUCUGCCUCAGGUGAGAUUUCUUUCUUGAUGAAGAGCAGCAACACAUUUCAUCAGGACAUUUUUUUUUAUUUCUUGUUCCAUCCUUAAAGCCUUUUGGAUGGCCACUACUGGGGACAGUGUUGCCCUCUCCUUAGGCACAGAGGAAUAAUAGGUUGUCUUCUGUGUUCUCAUUGCUGCUUCUUUUCACCCUAAGGCUGCUUGUUGACUGAAGGCAGAAGACACCCUGGCAUGUAUGUUUUGUCCAGUGCAGGUGUCCUCUGGAGUGGCCUGAAGAGAAGGCCAGUCUCAGUGGUUCUUCUGAAUCCUCUAUGACUAGAAUUAUGGACAUAGGCAUAAACAAGGCUAUGGGAGAUGACAAGUCCAACGUGCCAAUGGUGGGUUGGUUUCCACUUCUCUGCAGUCCAGGCCUAGUGCGGAAGUAGCAUACUCAUCAAGGGUAGGGAAUGGAGCCAUAACUGGAGUAACUGUCUGAGGCUGGUUGUGAAGCCAGGCACCUGGAUAGCCUGUCCUUACAGUAAUCAGUUGAAUGCCAUGAUCUGCUUAGACUUUCUUUGAUAUAAAGGAACAUUAUGUCUUGUGUUUUGAAUGGAACAUAUUGCAUUACGUCCAAAAUUCCAGGGUGUGGCUUGAGAGGUAUCAUUUCCUCAUAGGGAUUUGGGAAAUGCUCCCAUUCUUCUUUGAAGCAGGGGUGCAUUAUCAUGUCUAUGAUGGAUAUAUCUGGGUUUGACUGUCAUUAAGUUGCUAAGCAGGUCAUCUAGCUCUCUUGACACCCAACAGUGGUCAAGAUACACACCUGCCACAUGUCUUCUCAACUCGUGUAUGAAAAUAGAGGCAACAUUUCCAACUACCUUAAAAUGUAAGACUCUAGCAUUCAUAUGUGGUUCUUUGAACCAUCAUAAAUUUAUCCUAGGAAGAGUUCAUGGGCAUCAAAAGUGUUAGCACCAUUGUACAGGUUCAGCAUUUGCUCUGAUUGUCUUGGGUACUAAGGUCAAAGUCAAUGAUUUUGGCUUUUUGUUUCUUAUCCAACAUAUUAUUUGUUUGUCCUGUGAUUAUUCUGUGCCCCUGAGAGUAGAUCCAGGCUGUUAAUAUUUGCAUAAACUUUGCCAGGCCUUGUCCUUCACUAUGUAGCCAUACUUUGAGAUACAUUUGUAAAGAUGUUGAACCUCACCCAGCUCCAUGACAAGGUAUCCACUUGUUUUGGUCUCAAUAACUUGUAGAUGAUGUUGGGGUAGAUAAACACAAUUGUUGUCAUUGCCAUGGUCAUUACUGGAUGGCAUAAGUGCUUCUUCCUCACAAGGACUUGGAGGCCACUGUAUCAGAACAUCCACUGUCUUAGCACCUGCUUUUUCCCAACACAUCCACUGUACUGUCUGUCCAAGCCUAUGUUUUGUUGCCUUGCCCCUGAACUUCCUGCCAUUGCAGAAGGAAGUAGGAUGACAUGGUCUGGUUAAUAUAUUGUCUGGUUGAAGUGUCCUUAGUUUCUAGGGCUUGGAAUCCAAUGUAUUCCAUUGCUUUUUCACAUUAGCAGGGUCUGGCCUGAGGGGGAUCAGUUGCUCAUAGGGAUUUGGGAACUGCUUCUAGUCUUAGUUGAACUAGGGUUGCAUCAUGACCACAAUGACUGUUGGCCUAUAUUUAUGGUUGACUAUCUUUAAGAGGCUAAGUAGGUCCUCCAGCUCUUCUGACACCCCACCAGAGGCAGCAUAUACCUCUUUUACAGCCUGUCUUCUCAGCUCCAAAAUUAAGAGAGAAUCAAAUGGAAACUUUCUGACUGCCAAAAAUUAUAAAAUUCCACCCAAGGUCCAUAUUUUGUUCUUUGGAACAUAAGAAAAUUUUUCAACGAAGAGUUCAGGGACACCAAAAGUAUAAGUAUCGCAGUGCUGGUUCAGCAUUUCCCCUGGGUAGAAUGAGGUACUAGGCCAAAGUUCAUAAUCUUGACUUUUCAAUUGAUAUACAAACCAGCACUCUUUGGCUUCACGUCCCUGUGAAGUAUUGUUUGCCCGUAGAAGUGGCUCAUCACAGCUAUUAUUUGCACAAUAUUUCCCUAGCCUUGACUUGCUCUAGGUAGGCAUAUUUUGGCACACAGUAAGCAAGAUGAUCUCCUGGUUUGAUUAUGCAUUGUAAUAUCUUAGACUCAGAAUCCAUUAUGGUGCAGUUCUUCCACAAAUGCAGGGUCUAGCCUGACAGAGCUCAGUCCUUCAUAGAGAUUUGGGAAAGACUUUCAGUCUUCCUUUAACCAGGGGUACAUCAUCCCAUCUGUGACUGUCAACCUAUAUUUCAUGUUGACUAUCAUUAGGAGGCUAAGAGGUCCUCCAUCUCUUCUGACACCCCGCAGGGGUUAGGAUACAUACAUGCCACAAUGGUCUUCUCAAUUGUAGUAUGAAUACAGAGUAAGAUCUGACUUUUUUAACUACCAUGAAAUGUAAAACUCAGGUCCAUUUGUCAUUCUGUGGACUAUCAUAAAGUUGCUGAGGAAGAGUUCAGGAGCUCCAAAAGAGAAAGCACCACAGUGCCACUUCAGCAUUGCCCUGGUUCAACUAGGGUUCUAAGGCAAAAGUCUAUGAUUUUGACUUCUCCAUUUAUGUCCAAUGGUAAAAUUAUCAGGUUUCUGUUCCCUGUGCACUAUACCCUGGUCAUUUCAUUAGCUCACAGUUAUGAUUAUUUGCCUAAAUAUUUCCCUGCCUUUGUCCUCCCCUAGGUGGCCCCAUUUUCAGGUGCUUUGGUAAAGCUGUUGUCCUUCAACAAGUUCUUACUUGCAGAAGUGAGAUGCUGUUCAGGUGGUCGACCAUCAUUGUCUCUGCCUUGGUCAUGAGUGUCAGGCACCAUUGCUUCUUUAGAAGCUGUUCGAUUGCUCUGGGGCUGCCACUGAGUCGAAGGCGUUGCUCCUGUGUCCCAUGGUCCUUAAGACUUUGUAUUGAGAGUGGAAUUUUCCCUCAUCAGAAAUUCUGCUGAGGGCUAGGGUGUGGGGUCUGCUCUUUACUAUGUGUAAGCAUUGUAGCUAAAGAUACUACAAAUAUAACCUACAAAUAACUUAAAAGUAUAGAAUAAAAAUAGUGGAAAAGAUGUAGGGAAACUGAAGCUAAAUUCACAGCAUGUGUUUACUAAAAUGACCAAAAUGUCUUUGGGAUUGCAAUUUAUUCUUUUAUUUGUUUUUGUUUUACUUUUUGUUUUUGUUUUUUUCUUUGUUUUUUGGCUCUCUCAAGAGGGCAACCCUGUAGUGCAAUAGAUCACAUAUUCAGAUGAUGUCAGGUGAAAUAGUCAUUGGCCACAUAAAGGCUAAAGCCUGUGUUUGGGCAAUGGAAGGAAAGACACAGCAGAACUUUUUGGGGAAUGGAGAGAAAGAAGAAUAGAGGCGGAAGAUUCGGGCAAGAAGAAGAUGGGGGAGAAAGAGGUUGAAAAUGGAGCAGGCACACGUGGCUUGCAGGAGCCACAAGUAGGUAGAGAUUUUAUAAAUGGGCAAUAGAGUAGUGUAGUGGUAGAUUUGUCUAAUCUAAGCACUCAGCUUAUAAUUAUAUAAUUGAGUUUUCUGUUUUUGCAUGGGCCUUUUGGCGUUGGAGAUUUACCCCUAUAAAUCUGGCUAGUAGAAGCUUCUUGGGUUUUCAUUACAAAAGACUAAGGCAAAUCCUGUGAGAGGAGCAUUGGCCAGCCUUCUGCAGGUCGGGGAGAUGGGGUGGAUGAGAUAAGAAACGCAAGCAGCAGUCCAGGCAUUUCAGAUUAAAGUUGUUUGGUUAGAGUAGCAAACUAGGAGCAGGAACCAGGCAAGAUGGAUGCAUAGACCUGGCCAUGUGGGUUGAGCAUUACCACUGAUACCAGAGCAUAGCAGGAAUUUGCAUUCCUGUGUUCUCAUUGCUGUUGUGUUCUCUCUGAGGAUGAUUGUUGAAUGAAUUCAGGCGACACUGCUGCUGUGGAUGUAUGUUUGUCCAGUGUGGGUGUAAUCUGGUGUGGCCUCAAGAAACAAAGGGCAGCCCCAGUGACUCUUCUGCCUACUUUUUGACCAGAUUGUGGUCAAAGGAAGUCACUAGACCAUUGGAUGAUGAUGAGGCCUGUGCGUAUAGGGCGAGGUAGCUACCACUCCUCUACAGCCCAACAGGAAUGCAUCAUCAUCAUCAAGGAAAGGGAAUAACUGGACUCAAUGUGUGAGCCUCCAUUGUUCAGCCUUGCACCUGGAGAACUUGCCUGUACAGUAAGCCACAUGAUCCCAUGGUUUUAUUUUAUAUUACAAUAUCUUAGGCUCUGAACCCAGUAUGUUCUAUUUCUUCCACAAUUGCAGGGUCUAGCCUGACAGAGCUCAGUCCUUCAUAGGGAUUUGGGAAAGCCUUUCAGUCUUCCUUUAACCAGGGGUACAUCAUCACAUCUGUGACUCUCAACCUAUAUUUCGUAUUGACUAUCAUUAAGAGGCCAAGAGGUCCUAUAUCUCUUUUGACACCCCACAAAGGUUUGGAUACAUACUUGCCACAAACGGUCUUCAAAACUGUAGUAUGAAGACAGAGUAAAAUCUGACUUUUUUAAUCUACCAUUAAAUGUAAAACUAUGGUCCAUAUGUCAUUCUGUGGACUAUCAUAAAGUUUGCUGAGGAAGAGUUCAGGAGCUCCAAAAGAGAAAGGACCACAGUGCCAGUUCAGCAUUGCCCUGGUUCCACUUGAGUUCUAAGGUGAAAGUCGAUGAUUUUGACAUUUCCAUUUAUGUCCAUCAUAAACUUAUCAGGUUUAGAUUCCCUGUGUACUAUACCCUGGUCAUGGCAUUAGCUCACAGUUGCAAUUAUUUGCCUAAAUAUUUUUUGCCCUUGUCCUCCUCUAGGUGGCCCCAUUUUCAGGUGUUUUGGUAAAGCUGUUGUCCUUCCACAAGCUCUUACUUGUAGAAGUGAGAUGCUGUUCAGGUAGUCAACCAUCAUCAUUGUCUCUGCCUUGGUCAUGAGUGACAGGCACCAUUGCUUCUUUAGAAGCAGUUCCAUGGCCAUGGGUCUGCCACUGAGGCAAAGGCGUUGCUCCUGCGUCCCCUGGGCUUUAAGACUUUGUUUUGAGAGUGGAAGUGUCCCUCAUCAGAAAUUUGCCUGGGGCUUGGGUGUGGGAACUCCUCCUUACUAUGUGGAAUCAUUGUAGCUAAGAAUACUACAAAUAUUCCCUAGAAAUAACUUAAAAUUAUAGAAUAAAAAUGAUGAAAAAGAUGUAGAGAAACUGAAGCUACAAUCACUGCAUGUGUUAACUAAAACUGAGCAAAAUGUCUUGUGGACUGCAGUUUUUUGUUUUGUUUUUCUUGCUCUCUCAAGAGGGCAACUCUGUAGUGCAAUAGAUCACAUAUUCAGGUGAUGUCAUGGGAAAUAGUAAUUGGCCAAAUAAAGGCUACAGCCAGUGUUUGGGCUAUGGAAGGAAAAGAUAGAGCUGAAUGUUUUGGGGUAGGGAGAGAAAGAAGAAUAGAGACGGAAUAUUCGGGCAAGAAGAAGAUGGGGGAGGAAGAGGUUGAAAAUGGAGCAGCCCCAUGUGUCUUGCACGAGCCACAAGAAGGUAGAGAUGUCAUAAAUGGGCAAUAGAGUAGUGUCGUGGUGUAUUUGUCUGAUCUAAGCACUCAGCUUGUAGAUAUAUUACUGAGUUUUCUGGUCUUUGCAUGGGCCUUUUGGGGUUGGAGAUUUACCCCUAUAAAUCUGGCUAGUAUAAGCCUCUAGGGUUUUCAUUACAAAAGACUAACGCAAGUCCUGUGAGAGGAGCAUUAUCCAACCUUCUGCAGGUCAGCCAGAGGUGGUGGAUGGGAUGAGAAAUGCAAGCAGUAGUCCAAGCAUUUCAGAUUAAAGGUGUUUGGUUAGAGUAGCAAACUAGCAGCAGGGACCAGGACAAGAUGGCUGCAUAGAGCUAGCCAGGUGGGGUGAGAAACACCACUACUACCAGAGCAUAGCAGGAAUUUGCAUUCCUGUGUUCUCAUUGCUGCUGUUGUUCUCACUGAAGCUGAUUAUUCAGUGAAUUCAGGCGACACUGCUGGCAUGGAUGUAUGUUUGUCCAGUGUGGGUCUCAUCUGAAGUGGCCGGAAGAAGAGAAGAACAGCCCUCUUCGCUCUUCUGCCUUCUCUUUGGCAAGAUAAUGGCCAAAGGUAAACACAAGGCCAUUGGAGGAUGUGGAGACCAGUGUGACUAGGGUGGGGUAGCUUCCACUCCUCUUCAGCUCAAAGGUAAUGCAUCGUAUACAUCAAGGGUAGGGAAUAACUGGAUUCGAUGUGUGAGCCUCUGUUGUUCUGCCCUGCACCUGGAGAACUUGCCUGUACAGUAAGCCACAUGAUCCCAUGGUUUGAUUAUAUGUUGUGAUAUCUUAGGCUCUGUACCCAGUAUGUUCUAUUUCUUCCACAAUUGCAGGGUCUAGCCUGACAGAGCUCAGUCCUUCAUAGGGAUUUGGGAAAGCCUUUCAAUCUUCCUUUAACCAGGGGUACAUCAUCACAUCUGUGACUGUCAAACUAUAUUUCGUGUUGACUAUCAUUAAGAGGCCAAGAGGUCCUACAUCUCUUCUGACACCCCACAGAGGUUAGGAUACAUACUUGCCACAACCGGUCUUCAAAACUGUAGUAUGAAGACAGAGUAAAAUCUGACUUUUUUUAAUCUACCAUUAAAUGUAAAACUAUGGUCCAUAUGUCAUUCUGUGGACUAUCAUAAAGUUUGCUGAGGAAGAGUUCAGGAGCUCCAAAAGAGAAAGGACCACAGUGCCAGUUCAGCAUUGCCCUGGUUCCACUUGAUUUCUAAGGCAAAAGUCGAUGAUUUUGACUUUUCCAGUUAUGUCCAACAUAAUCUUAUCCAGUUUCAGUUCACUCGGUACUAUACCGUGCUCAUGGCAUUAGCUCACAGUUGCUAUUAUUUGCCUAAAUAUUUCCCUGCCCUUGUCCUCCUCUAGGUGGCCCCAUUUUCAGGUGUUUUGGUAAAGCUGUUGUCCUUCAAUAAGCUCUUAAUUGUGGAAGUAAGAUGCUGUUCAGGUUGUUGACCAUCAUCAUUGUUUCUGCCUUGGCCAUGUGUGGCCUACACCAAUGCUUCUUUACAAGCAGUUCGAUGGCCAUGGGACUGCUAGGGAGGCGAUGAUGUGAUAUCGGGACCUUGGCAUUGCUCCUUAAGUCCUUAAGACUUUGUACUGAGUGUGGAAGUUUCCCUCCUCAGAGAUUCUGCUGGGGACUAGGGUUUGGGAAAUCCUCCUUACUAUGUGUAAGCAUUGUAGCUAAAAAUACUACAAAUAAUACCUAGAAGUAACUUUAAAAGUGUAGAAUAAAAAUAAUGAAAAAGAUGUUUGGAAACUGAAGCUAUCGUCACUUCAUGUGUUAACUAAAAUGAGCAAAAUGUCUUGUGGAUUACUGUUUGAAUUUUUUCCUCUCAAGAGGGCGGCCCUGUAGUGCAAUAGAUCACAUAUUCAGAUGAUGUCAAUUGAAAUAGUAAUUAGCCAUAUAAAGGCUACAGCCUGUCAUUGGGCAAUGGAAGGAAAAGAUAGAGCAGAAUGUUUUGGGAAAGGGAGAGAAAGAAUAGAGAUGGAUGAUGCGGGCAAGAAGAAGAAGAUGGGAGAGAAGAGGUGGAAAAUGGAGCAGGCCCAUGUGGCUUGCAGGAGCCACAAGUAGCUAGAGAUUUCAUAAAUGGGCAAUAGAGUAGUGUAGUGGUAGAUUUGUCUAAUCUAAGCACUCAGCUUGUACUUAUAUUAUUGAGUUUUCUGUUCUUUGACUGGGACUUUUGGAGUUUGAGAUUUACCACUAUAAAUCUGGCUAGUAUAAGCUUCUGGGUUUUCAUUUCAAAAGACUAAGGCAAGUCCUGUGAAAGGAGCAUUAUCCAACCUUCUGCAGGUCAGCCAGAGGUGGUGGAUGGGAUGAGAAAUGCAAGCAGUAGUCCAGGCAUUUCAGAUUAAAGUUGUGUGGUUAGAGUAGUAAACUACCAGCAGGAACCAGGACAAGAUGGCUGCAUAGAGCUAGCCAUGUGGGUUCAGGAUAACCACUGAUACCAGAGCAUAGCAGGAAUUUGCAUGGGUUUAAUUUAAAACUUCAUGCAAUAGAAGAUGUUGCCUGUGGUAGUCAACAAUCCACUAGGGAGUUAGGAUUCUUGUCCUAGGGAUGAGAGAAUUAGAUUCCUGAAUGAGCAGAGAUGAGUCAAGUGACUCCAGCACAUGGGAAUCUUAAUCAAACACAGUGAUAGACAGACCCAAAUCAGGCUCUGAGUUCUCCUCUUGUAAAAAGAAUCAGUAUAAUAAAUGGAUCCAGGCAGAGAGGGAGACUGAAGACUGCCUGCUUUUAAUGAAGUUUGGUUUAGUUGUUGCUAAUUUGGUGUAAUUUUGUUUAAAGAUAGAAGAGGACACAAUUUUGGCCAGAGUCACCUGGGGAAUUCCUCCUGAGGUUCAGAGCUAACUCAGGGCAAAUGGGCCCAGAUUAUCUGGGAGCUCCUGCUGUGCAGGGACAAACUGAGCUAACAGAAAAACUACAGCCUCCAAGGCAGACAGCAGAAUUUGGAUAAGGAUGAAAUCCUCUAGGAAAGUCUCAGUGUCUCACAGGAUUCUCAUAUUCUCUCAAAAGAGGGUUAAAUGUCCUGUCUUGGCAGAUUAGAAAAGGCCCGAAAAAACUGUUUCUACUCUGCUUGUUUGGUUUAGUUCCCUCGUAUGAGUAUUUAAUUUUCGAAAUGUAUGUGAUUUUGAAUUUUCUGGUUAUUUUACUAUUCCUCUGGGAAAGAUGUCAACCUAAAAAUCUUUCUGGUUACUGGCUAAAGCGCAUGCUAAUUUGGGAGAAAGACCUUAUGUUUCUGCUUAUAGGAAAAGUAAUUAGGCACUGGACUCCUUCCAGGGUUCUCUGGGUCAGAAAGGGCAGAUGAGCCCCCCUGAAGAACUAGAAAAUUCAAGAGAACCAAGCAAGAAAGGUAAAGAUUCCUUAUGCCAUUGUUCACAAUGCAUGAACGAAGACUUAUGAUUAGUUAUUAUUAAAUUUGGCUCAUAAAAAGACUAUCUUUUCACAUGCUUAAACAAAGAGCAGUAUUUCAUCUUGAGUAGUCAAGGUAUUUCAUGUUAAACUGGUUCACAAUUGGCUUAGCAAUCGAGCCUCAGGAUGCAGAGUAACACAGCUGCAUAGAGCUAGCCAUAGGGACUGGGUGAAACUCUGAUGCCUGUGUUUAGCCAGACUUAGUGUGGGGUUAUUUUAAAAAUUACAUGUAACAAAAAGUGAUUGAAAGAAACUAAAGUCAAAGUUAGGAAAAUAGAAUAAAAAUUAUGGAAAAGAUAUCAGGGAAAAAGCUAAAGUCAAAAAUCCCAAGUAAAAUUCAAACAAAUAACCCACCUUGUAUUCUGUUCAGAAAAGUCACGAAGCUCUCUAGAAGGAGACAAGACAGGAUGCAGCUGUUGGGCUAUCUCAGGCAAACUCUGCACCAGAGCACCUGUUCAAAGAGAUUAGAACAUCAUUAUUGUAUCAUGGAUGUUUACUGGGAGAAUGGAAUGAUUUCACAGCUGAGUUGUGGAAUUCUAUAGAUCUAUAAAAUAACCUCUGCAGUGGAUAAUAUAAAGUUAUGAAAUAUCUUCCAGCUUCAUUAAUCAGAACUAUAAAUUUUCAAUCUAGCCCAUGGAUGCUGAUGGUAACUGUCGCUUCUGUUUCCGACCCGCAGAAAAGAGCGACUACACAGCGUUCUUUUCAAAGCGGUUUAUUCAGGAACCUUACAACAUGCAAACAGGAAUCUUUCUUUUCUUUUCUUCUGUCUCCCUCCCAGCCCAGCCCCCGAGCACACUCCCUUAUAUCCUCCCUCAACUCCGCCUCCUCAGUCCAGACUGCAUAAUCUCAGUUCAUAGGUCCACGUCACAUGGCCUGAUCUUGCAUCAUGGUGCACCUGCACAGCUCUCACAAUGGACGUGGCUAGUUUCAGGUGUGUGAGGAAGUCAGAUGCUAGUCACGAGACUUAGCUGCAGUCCCAGGCGCCAUCUUGGGACUACCGCCACACCCGCUCCCCACAGAAUUGGAAAGCUCACCUUUGAUCCUGAUUUGAGGCUGGGAGACACAAAUUUCUGAACUGAAUCUUGGCAUGGAGAUCAUGAGGCAAAGUGGCUGUGAAUCUCAGGAGUUUAAGACAAGGAGAUCUCUGAGUUCAAGGUCACCUAGGACAAAGCAAGUCCCAGUUCCAGCUGUGGUGGUACACACCUUUAAUCUGGGACACACCUUCUGCUGGAGAUUUAUAUAAGGACAUUGGAAGAAGGAAGAGUCUCUCUUUCAUCUGCCUGCCUGAUUUGUAGGACUGAGCCACUGCUAGAUCCUUGGACUCCUAUCCAUACCUGUUGCUGAUCAUUGUUGGGGAGUUGGACUAUAGACUGCAAGUCAUCAACCAAUUGUCUUACUGUACAGAGAUUUCCCAUAAGUUCUGUGUCUCUAAAGAACCCUGUAUAAGACAAUUCUCUUUUAUAAUAUAUAAUUUCUAUUGAUAGAUAAUGUAAUUUAUUUUUUUAUUCAUAAUAUUAUUAUAUUCAUCCCUAUGUUUAUAUGUAAAUAAAACACAGGUUGUAUGCCUAUGAAACAGUAACACACUGCAUACUUGAUGACUGCUGUCUUUUCCCUACUCCCUACUGCAGGGGAGAAAAUGGACCAUUCUCAUCAAUGAAAAAGGUAAAAUAAAAUGUUAACUAUUGGCUGGAAACACAGAUGGUUUACAAAUAAAAUUACAUCUUCUUGAUUGCUACUUU